AGUGAACGCUGGCGGUAGGCCUAACACAUGCAAGUCGAACGGCAGCACAGUAAGAGCUUGCUCUUACGGUUGGCGAGUGGCGGACGGGUGAGGAAUACAUCGGAAUCUACUUUUUCGUGGGUGAUAACGUAGGGAAACUUCCGCUAAUACCGCAUACGACCUACGGGUGAAAUCAGUGGAUCUUCGGACCUUGCGCGAUUGAAUUAGCCGAUGUCGGAUUAGCUAGUUGGCGGGGUAAAGGCCCACCAAGGCGACGAUCCGUAGCUGGUCUGAGAGGAUGAUCAGACACACUGGAACUGAGACACGGUCCAGACUCCUACGGGAGGCAGCAGUGGGGAAUAUUGGACAAUGGGCGCAAGCCUGAUCCAGCCAUACCGCGUGGGUGAAGAAGGACUUCGGGUUGUAAAGCCCUGUUGUUGGGAAAGAAAAGCAGCAGGUUAAUACCCCGCUGUUCUGACGGUACCCAAAGAAUAAGCACCGGCUAACUUCGUG
rnacentral:rRNA from 1 species